rnacentral:rRNA from 1 species
GGAGGGUGCGAGCGUUAAUCGGAAUUACUGGGCGUAAAGCGCACGCAGGCGGUUUGUUAAGCUAGAUGUGAAAGCCCCGGGCUCAACCUGGGAUGGUCAUUUAGAACUGGCAGACUAGAGUCUUGGAGAGGGGAGUGGAAUUCCAGGUGUAGCGGUGAAAUGCGUAGAUAUCUGGAGGAACAUCAGUGGCGAAGGCGACUCCCUGGCCAAAGACUGACGCUCAUGUGCGAAAGUGUGGGUAGCGAACAGGAUUAGAUACCCUGGUAGUCCACACCGUAAACGCUGUCUACUAGCUGUGUGUGCCUUUAAGGCGUGCGUAGCGAAGCUAACGCGCUAAGUAGACCGCCUGGGGAGUACGGCCGCAAGGUUAAAACUCAAAUGAAUUGACGGGGGCCCGCACAAGCGGUGGAGCAUGUGGUUUAAUUCGAUGCAACGCGAAGAACCUUACCUACACUUGACAUGCUGAGAACUUUCCAGAGAUGGAUUGGUGCCUUCGGGAACUCAGACACAGGUGCUGCAUGGCUGUCGUCAGCUCGUGUCGUGAGAUGUUGGGUUAAGUCCCGCAACGAGCGCAACCCUUGUCCUUAGUUG